GUCGGUGUGUUGUAACGGUAACAUGCAGGUCUCCAAAACCUUGCGAUCGGGGUUCGAAUCCUCGCACCUUCGCCA
rnacentral:tRNA from 1 species